AUCUGCAGCUAUUUAAUAGUGACUGACUCAGGAUCAUCGCAGUCAGUCAUGGGUGAUCCUAGGAACCAGAUGUGGAUAUGGAUGCUGUGGGUCUUCUCAUGUGGGAUGUGUGUUGGUUCAACAGUAGCCGAACCACAUUACAUGGUGACCAUCCCUGCUACUCUGGAAGCUGGAGCUGAAACUAAAUUCUGUGCAAGUCUCAAGGAGCCUAAUGAGACUCUGACCAUGACUGUCACUUUGGGGUCAGAAGAAAAGAACACAACCCUUCAUGAGAAGACCUCCAGGGAGGAAUUUCUUGAAUGCAUUCAGUUUCAGGUUCCUUUUGUGGAAAAUGAAGAGAUAACAAAUGUUGAGGUGGAGGUACGAGGAAACACAUUUUACUCAAAAGAAGUCAGGAAAGUCCUGAUCAAAGCCUACCAACCAAUGCACUUCAUCCAAACAGACAAACCAAUCUACCUCCCUGGACAGACAGUUCAUUUCAGAGUGGUCUCACUGGAUACAAAGUUCAGACCAACCAAUCAGCUGUACAGCAUCAUCGAACUGGAGGAUCCUUACAACAACAGGAUUGGACAGUGGCUCAAUGAAACAUCCAACAGCAAAAUAUUACAGCUUUCCUACCCCUUAAACUCUGAAGUCCGUGAAGGGACCUACAGAAUCAGUUUGAAAGUUGGUGAUGUUAAGAACUAUCACCGCUUCAAAGUGGAGAAGUAUGUUUUGCCCAAAUUUGAUGUAACGAUAAAUGCAAAAGAAGAAGUCAGUAUCGGUCAGGAAGAAUUUGAAGCUGAAGUAUGUUCAAAGUACACAUACGGACAGCCUGUGCCAGGAAGUGUUACCUUGAAGGUGUGCCGACCUCUUCAGAUGCAUGUAUAUGAUUAUGGAGUUACGGGCAGAAAUUUAGAAGAACUUGAGAUAAAACCUCCCUGUGAGACAAUCACAAAACAGAUGGACAAAACAGGCUGCUCUCUGUUUGAAUUUAAAAUGUCAAGUUUCACCAAAAUUGACUCAAAGGUAGCAUUUGAUGGACUUGAUCUAAGUGCUACCAUGGAGGAGGAGGGAACAAGUGUUUCACUUUCGCAAAGGAAGAAGGUGCAGAUUACCUAUAUGAUUGGAAAGCUGACUUUUAUUGAUCCACCCAAGAUUUAUGACCAAGGCUCAAAUCUGGAGGGAAAAGUCAAGGCUGUUCACUACAAUGACACACCUAUGAGUCACAUGCCACUGUACUUGUUUGAGGGCUAUGUUUGGUCUGCAACCUUACUGCAGAACCUCACAACUGACAGCAAUGGAUUUGCCACAUUCUCUGUCAGCACAGAAACAUUCAGUCAAGAUAUUCGCCUCAGUAUAACAACCACACCAGUUAUGGAGUACUCACCAUAUAGAACAGUCUACAUUCAGACAGGUAAUCAUGUGGUUCAGCAGUCCCUACCUCCUUCUAGUGAUACUAAAUCAGUCAGCUCCUUGAAGAUAAAGACGAGUGAUGCAACACUUCCUUGUGACCAAGAAGUGGACAUCAUCAUAGAUUACACUUUUGUGCGUGAACCACAGGGAUCUGUGGAUAUCAUGUAUCAGAUCUUAUCUAGAGGAACUAUUGGCAGUGCAGGACAAAAACAAGUUCAAGUGGAAGAUAAACCAGUGAAUGAGGGCGAGGUGACCAUAAGGCUGAAUGUGUCUCCAGACAUGGCACCUGUGAUCCAGGUUGUGGCUUACGCUGUCCUGCCCAGCGAGAGUGUGAUUGCUCACAAUGCUGAGUUCUCUACAGAAAAAUGCUUCAGUAAUAAGGUUUCGUUGGAGUUUUCUCCAUCUUCAGCUGUCCCAGGAGAGGACACCAAGCUGCAGCUGACAGCCCAGCCCGAUUCCCUGUGUGGUGUCAGUGCCAUCGAUCAGAGCGUCCUCAUCAAGGAGCCUGGACAGACAUUGAAUGAAGACAGGAUUUUUCAAAUGCUGCCUGUCAGGAAACAUACAUUCAUACCAUAUCAGGUCGAAGAUCCUAUUAAGUGUGUGAAUGUGAGAACAAAGAGAUAUUUACCUUAUGUGGGUGAAGAAACAGAUCCCAGAAAAUUCUUCCAGAAUGUGGGACUGAAAACAGUGACAAAUUUGGCGAUGGGUAUUCCCAAUUGUGUCAAAUUCAGGGGAAGAGAAUAUCAUCGAGGCUUUUACGGAGAGAGGGGUAUUCAGUUGAACAGAAUGAGUUCACCAGUAGCUAUGGCGCUUGAUGUUGGAUCAAGCCCUCAAAUGGAUUCUGGACCAGUAGAAACUGUUCGCAAGUUCUUCCCUGAGACCUGGAUAUGGGACCUUGUGGAAAUUGGAUCUUCUGGAACCAAGGAGGUGUCCCUCACUGUCCCAGACACCAUCACCACCUGGGAGACGGAGACUUUCUGUUUAUCCCCUCAGGGUUUUGGUUUGGCUCCUCGUCAGAAGCUCACCGUCUUCCAGCCCUUCUUCCUGGAGCUCACGCUGCCAUACUCCAUCAUCCGAGGGGAGAACUUUGAGCUGAAGGCAACUGUCUUCAACUACCUGACUAAAUGCAUCAUGGUUAAAGUGACUGCAGCCGACUCCUCAGAUUACAGCCUUUCACCCCUCUCUGGGGACCAGUACACAUCUUGUCUGUGUACCAACGAGCGAAAGACCCUCAGCUGGACCAUGACUCCCACAGCCUUAGGGGUUGUGAAUGUCACUGUGACUGCUGAGGCCGUUCCAUCUCACGCUUCUUGUGACAACGAGAUAGUGAGCAUUCCAGAAAGAGGCCGCAUCGAUGUUGUAACCCGUCCUCUUAUUGUAAAGGCUGAAGGUGUCGAAGUAACAAAGACGCACAACUGGCUGGUCUGUCCUGAAGGGGAAGCUUUGACUGAAGAAACCGAACUACAGCUGCCUCAAAAUGUGAUUGAUGGAUCUGGCCGUACUGCGGUAUCUGUCCUAGGCGACAUUCUCGGACGCGCCCUGCAGAAUCUGGAUGGCCUGCUGCAGAUGCCGUAUGGAUGUGGGGAGCAGAAUAUGGCACUACUGGCUCCCAACAUCUAUAUCAUUGAAUAUCUGCAAAGUUCACAGCAGCUGACUCCAGCCAUUAAGGCAAAGGCUUCCAACUUCCUAACUAGCGGCUACCAGAGGCAGCUGAACUACAAAGACAGCGAAGGUGCAUACAGCACAUUUGGAACUGGACCAGGAAACACUUGGCUGACUGCUUUUGUUCUGAGAGCUUUCUCUAAAGCUCAGUCUUUCAUUUACAUCGAUCCAGAAAAACUUGAACAAUCAAAGACUUGGCUGAUCCAAAAGCAACAAAAGACUGGUUGCUUUCAGCAGUCAGGAAAGCUCUUUAACAACAGAAUGAAGGGUGGUGUAUCUGAUGAAGUGACGCUAAGUGCUUACAUAACCACUGCCUUUCUGGAGAUGAAAAUGGCCUCAAAUGAUUCUGUGGUGAAACAGAGCCUGUCGUGCCUCAAAGAGUUCGUCAAUGACUUCAGCAACACCUACACCACAGCACUGCUGGCGUACGUCUUCACGCUGGCAGGAGACAUGGAGACCAGAGCUCACCUUCUGCAGCACCUCGACUCUGUUGCCAUCAAAGAUGGUGGUUUCAUCCACUGGUCUCAGACAGCAACAGAAAAAUCUGCUUCUCUGUCUGUGGAGAUCAGCUCCUAUGUGCUGCUGGCCAAACUCUCUGCCUCCCACACUACUGAAGACCGGGGUUAUGCCUCAGGGAUUGUUCGGUGGUUGACAACCCAGCAGAACCAUUAUGGAGGAUUCUCCUCAACUCAGGACACAGUGGUGGCUCUUCAGGCUCUGUCCCUCUACUCCAGUCUGGUGUUCAGCCCUGAAGGUACCAGCACAGUGACGGUUCAGUCUCCCAGCGGUCAGCUGGUUUUUGAUGUAAACCCAGGGAACAAACUGCUCUAUCAGGAGAAGAUGCUGCAGGACGUAGCGGGAAAGUACAGCCUGGAGGUGAAGGGGAGUGCAUGUGCCUCUGUGCAGAUUUCUCAGCACUACAACAUCCCACCUCCUCCUGAUGCCACCACUAUGAGUGUGGAGGUUUUGACAGAAUACGACUCCUCUCACAGACCCCCCAAAGUCACCCUGAUGCUCAGUUCACAGUACAAUGGAAAAGAGGGCAAUACUAACAUGGUGAUCCUGGACAUUGCCUUGCUGUCAGGAUUUAUCCCUGACCCGCAGUCGUUGAAGAAUCUUGAAUAUGCUCUGCUGGUGGAUCGUGUUGAACACAAGAACAACCAUGUUAUUGUGUAUUUACAGGGGCUGACGAAGGGCCUACCAGUCAACCACAGCUUGGUGCUCCUACAGCAGGUCCCUGUGCAGAACCUCAAACCAGCAGUCAUUGCCCUCUAUGACUACUACCAGCCCAGUAACUCCUCAUACAGAGAACACAUUUUAACACAGUCUACCUUGGAUAAACAAUGAACAUUUCUCAUUUUCAAUUAAUAUUUUUCUUUCUUGUCUAGCUGACCGGGCUGACAGGGAAUACAUUGUGGCUAAUCAAGCUUGAGGAAUGAACCUAAUCUUAUGGCCACCAGGGAUUCCAGCACCAUAUUGACUGAAAAUCAAGUAUUUUCUCCAAAUACUUUUAAAUGUUUUUGAUCCACUAUAAAUCUUUUUGUUACAGUCUAUGUUACACUCUAAUUAUGUUUUAUUUUUGUAUGCAACUAAAACAUUAAUAAAAUAUGAAGAUAAAAUAACC